CUUGACUUGUAUUGCAGUGUUGCCUUGCACAAGCUGGCUGAGAUGGAUUACUGUGGCACAACAAGUUACUUUAUAAAAGUUCUUUUGGAGAAGAAAUAUUGUAUGCCGUACCGAGUACUUGAUGCAUUGGUUGCUCACUUCAUGAGAUUUGUAGAUGAUAUAAGAGUUAUGCCUGUGAUUUGGCACCAGUCUCUUCUUACAUUUGUGCAACGGUAAUCCUUCUUCUUACGAAAUGUAUGAGAAAUCAAACAAAAACUGUGAAGUUAUUUUGUAAACUCAUGUUUGAUCCUAUGAAGAUUGUAGUCGUCUUGCUGACAAGUAAAUAGACAAUGUUUGAUUUUUUUUUCAGUUUCUUAUGUUAAAUAGAAGAAUGAUUUAAUAGAAGGAAAGUUUACAUC